AUGGGAAUGGCAGAGCUCCAUAGGCCCCUGAAGGAUGGGCUUCUUCCAUCCCCACACCCCAGCCCUGCUCUCCUGGGUCUGCAUUUCUGUCCCAACGGGGUGUUAAUGAGACAGACACAGACUCGGUUUCAAAUUCUGCUUCUGCUUCUCACCAGCUGUGACUUUGGCAAGUUCUUUAAAUUCCUUGAGACUCUGCUCCCUUUGGGCAUCAUGGGACGACGGACAAGGCCGCCACAGCAGCUACCUGGUGGAGGUGGUGGGAGCACUGCAGGGAACCAGAGCAGAGAGGAGCACCGUGGUGGGCUCUCAACGGUGACCCAGGAGACUCUUUCUGCACACACGUCAGAAUGGAGAGCAGGCUUCCAGGAGGGUGAAGAGCAGGGCUGCCAUGUUGCUUCAGACCAUGGUGAACCAACCUCAGGGAAAACAGAAGGAAGAGGAAAGAUUCUCAUUGCGGAGGGAAAUCUCUACAAGCAGCCUGUUAAGUAGUAAAUGUUACUGCUGUGCCUGAACGGAGUUAUCAUCCACGGGAAGCGUCAGCUGAUAAGGUGUACAACACAGA
rnacentral:lncRNA from 1 species